rnacentral:tRNA from 1 species
CUCCCCAAGUUGGAAUUGAACCAACGACAAGAUGGUUAACAGCCAUCUGCUCUACCCCUGAGCUAUUGGAGA